UGCAAGUGUUCCUUGUGCUAAGGUGCAUCUAGUGCAGUUAGUGAAGUAGCUUAGAAUCUACUGCCCUAAAUGCUCCUUCUGGCACAAGCUGCUGACUGCACAUCUUGG
rnacentral:pre_miRNA from 1 species